rnacentral:sRNA from 1 species
UUGCAUUCGGAGCCUGAGAGGAUGAGAACCUCCGGGGGAAGAGGUUCGACUCGAGCGGAGCGAGAGAACGUUGCGUCAGCAACGGCCCGCAGGGCGAGCCACAACGUGGCGAGUUAUCCUCUAUCACCGACCA